ensembl:lncRNA
CUGUUUUUCAAAAACCUAUUAGAUAAUAUAUCCAUCGGGACAAUUAGUUUUUCAGUAGGACCGAUUGGAGUAAUGGCUACCUCUGUAUUUUACACGAGAAUCUCUCUGGCAGCAUCAGGUGACCACUUGCGCAAUGUAGCCGCUUACGGGUAUUCUUCAACAUAAAUGCGUAAAACUACGUCACAAUGCUGUAGACACCUUCAGGAAUACGGAGAAAGAGUCAUCUGGUUGAUAGCCCAUUCACUGAUCAAUAGGGACUCAUUGGAACGCAGCACUUUCAAAACAUGGGGCACUUCCGGAUUGGAUUUUUCUCAGGCUUUCGCCUGCAACAUCAGUUCUGUUAUACUCACAGACAAUAUUUUUACAGUUUUGGAAACGUUAGAGUGUUUUCUAUCCUAAGCUGUCAAUUAUAUGCAUAUUGAAGCAUCUUGUCCUGACAAAAUAUCCCGUUUACUAAGGGAACGUUUUUUUUUUUUUUUCAAAAAAUGAAAAUACUGCCCCCUAGUCACAACAGGUUAUUAAGGGCCUUCACCUUCCCUGGGUUAGCUCUAACUUAAUACAGUUGUUCAGAGAAAGGGGUAUAAAGCCUGGGCAAAGUACAGUAGAAAAAAUGGUCACCAAAGAUCCAACUGAUUUGGAGUCCUAUAGAAAAGUAUGAAACACUGGUAAAACUAAAGCUAGAAAAGCCUCCUAUAUGGAUAGUCUUACAAAAAAAUUAAAACAAAAAUCCACAGCAGUUCUGAAAAUACACAAAUUACCUUUGAAAUAAUCUGGCUUUAGACCCAACCAUUCUACCACCUACCGCGUUAUUGAAAUUUACUAAUGAUUUAUAUUCUUAAUCUGACCAAGGCCAACUAACUGGUGCCAUCAUUGAUUUAGUUGGGAAUUCUAUUUUACUAGCAAAACGUUAACAUUGGUUUCACUAACAGAUCACUAAACUGGUUCCAUGCAUAUUUUAGCAUUAGAAAACAACGUGUUUUCAUAGACGGACACAAAUCACAACUUCUUGGACUCAGUAGAGGAGUACACCAAUCUCUAUAGUCAUAAAUGAAUUGCCUCUAAUUUGUCAGGAUACACAAGAUCACUUAUACGCUGAUGAUGCAUGGCAGUAUACAUCCAGUUCAAAUAAUUUACAGAUACAAGCAACUCCAAAAUGAUUUGAACACUUUACAAAAAUGGUUUCUAGCAAAUAAUUUGGUUUUAAAUCAAACAAAGUCCUUUAUCAUACUGUGUUAUUGACUUGUUUAUUGUUUACUCCAUGUGUAAUUCUGUGUUGUUGUCUGUUCACCCUGCUAUGCUUUAUCUUGGCCAGGUCGCAGUUGUAAAUGAGAACUUGUUCUCAACUAGCCUACCUGGUUAAAUAAAGGUGAAAUGAAAUAAAAAAUGCUGUUUGGUAUGACACAGAAUGAACUCCAAUAGCUGGAAAUUUCAAAAUUCAUUGAAGUGAUGGAACAAUGCUUGAAAGUGUUGAUUGUUUGUUUGAAAUAUCUGGGUUUGAGGAUAGAUUCUAAAUUAUCUUUUGGAAAGCAUAUUGAUUAUAUUAGAAAACAAUUGACUACAGUGCAUUCGGAAAGUAUUCAGACCCCUUAAUUUUUUCCACAUUUUGUUAGCCUUAUUCUAAAAUCGUUUAAAAUAAUUGUUUUCCCUAAUCAAAUGAGGCAAAAAUAGGUUUUUAGACAUUUUUGCAAAUGUAUUACCAAUAAAGAACUGAAAUAUCACAUUUACAUACUGUAAGUAUUCAGACCCUUUACUCAGUACUUUGAUGAAGCACCUUUGGCGGUGAUUACAGCCUCGAGUCUUCUUGGGUACGACGCUACAAGCUUGGCAGAACUGUAUUUGGGGAGUUUCUCCCAUUCUUCUCUGGAGAUCCUCUCAACCUCUGUCAGGUUGGAUGGGGAGCGUCGCUGCACAGCUAUUUCCAGGUCUCUCCAGAGAUGUUAGAUCGGGUUCAAGUCUGGGCUCUGGCUGAGCCACUCAAGGAUAUUCAGAGACUUGUCCUGUAGCAUCUCCUGUGUUAUCUUGGCUGUGUGCUUAGGGUCAUUGGCCUAUUGGAAGGUGAACCUUCAUCCCAGUCUGAGAUUCUGGGCGCUCUGGAGCAGGUUUUCAUCAAGGAUCUCUGUUAUUUGCGAACGUUCAUCUUUCCCUCGAUCCUAACUAGUGUUCCAGUCCCUGCCGCUGAAAAACAUCCCCACAGCAUGAUGCUGCCACCACCAUGUUUCACAGUAGGGAUGGUAUUGGCCAGGUGAUGAGCGGUACCUGGUUUCCUCCAGAUGUGACGCUUGGCAUUUAGGCCAAAGAGUUCAAUCUUGGUUUCAUCAGACCAGAGAAUCUUGUUUCCCAUGGUCUGAGAGUCCUUUAGGUGCCUUUUGGCAAACUCCAAGCAGGCUGUCAUGUGCCUAUACUGAGGAGUGGCUCCCGUCUGGCCACUCUACCAUAAAGGCCUGAUUGGUGGAGUGCUGCAGAGAUGGUUGUCCUGGAAUGUUCUCCCAAUCUCCACAGAGGAACUCUGGAGCUCUUUCAGAGUGACCAUUGGGUUCUUGGUCACCUGCCUGACCAAGGACCUUCUCUCCCGAUUGCUCAGUUUGGCUGGGGGACCAUCUCUAGUAAGAGUCUUGGUGGUUCCAAACUUCUUCCAUUUAAGAAUGAUGAGGGCCACUGUGUUCUUGGGGACCUUCAAUGCUGCAGACAUGUUUUGGUACCCUUCCCCAGAUUUGUGCAGACACAAUCCUGUCUCUGAGCUCUGCGAACAAUUCCUUCGCCCUCAUGGCUUGGUUUUUGCUCUGACAUGCACUGUCAAAUGUGGGACCUUAUAUAGACAGGUGUGUUCCUUUUACAAAUCAUGUCCAAACAAUAGCCCUUAUGCACAUUCCAUGAUCGAACGUUCUAAACACACUUCCUAUCAGUGUGGCAAUUUCCGGUCAGUCUAGUUGUUAUCGACGAUAUAACGUUACUACCACUAUGUCGCAGUUUUUUACUAGGUGUCUUCAGGACUUGCCUCAAAUUAAUAUUCAUGAUGUACAUCGAAUUGUUAAAUCAGCCCCCGAGACUCCAGCUAGCAAGAAUGAAAAGGGGUUCAAGAUGUAUAUAGGAAGCUACAUAAACAACUAUGAAGGUGAGUACCAAGUCAGUGACAGAUAUUACGUUAGCUAGCUACAAUCAUUAGCUAGCUAAUUAAACUAUUAACUGUAGCUAGCUAGUUACUUCGUAAAAUGAUGUACACUCAAUUGCUCCAAGAUGGCAUAGCAGUCAGAUGUCUUUUGUCCUUGUCGUGUCCCAUAUAUAUAUAUAUAUAUAUAUAUAUAUAUAUAUA